UGGCUCAGGACGAACGCUGGCGGCGUGCCUAACACAUGCAAGUCGAGCGGGGACAUGCGACGGAGUCAAAGUUUCGGAUGGAGACAAAGAUGUAUGUUCUAGCGGCGGACGGGUGAGUAACGCGUGAGCAACCUGUCCUUCACAGGGGGAUAACACAGCGAAAGUUGUACUAAUACCGCAUAAGACCACAACGGGACAUCCCGCAGGGGUCAAAGGAGCAAUCCGGUGAAGGGUGGGCUCGCGUCCGAUUAGAUAGUUGGUGAGGUAACGGCCCACCAAGUCAACGAUCGGUAGCCGACCUGAGAGGGUGAUCGGCCACAUUGGGACUGAGACACGGCCCAAACUCCUACGGGAGGCAGCAGUGGGGAAUAUUGGGCAAUGGGGGGAACCCUGACCCAGCAACGCCGCGUGAGGGAAGAAGGUUUUCGGAUCGUAAACCUCUGCCCUUGGUGAAGAGGAAGAGACGGUAGCCAAGGAGGAAGCCCCGGCUAACUACGUGCCAGCAGCUGC
rnacentral:rRNA from 1 species